UGGGUGUGCUCUUUGAUACCAAUCUUUCAUUUGAAGGCCAUGUUACUAGCAUCUGUAAAACCGCAUUCUUCCAUCUUAAAAAUAUAUCUAAACUACGACAUAUGCUCUCAAUGAAAAAUGCAGAACAGUUAGUUCAUGCGUUCAUGACCUCAAGGCUAGAUUACUGUAACGCUCUACUGGGUGGUUGUUCUGCUCGCCUGAUAAAUAAACUACAGUGCAUACAAAAUGCAGCAGCUAGAGUUCUUACUAGAACUAGGAAGUAUGACCAUAUUAGCCCAGUUCUGUCAACACUGCAUUGGCUUCCUGUUAAACAUCGUAUAGAUUUUAAAAUCUUGCUAAUUACUUACAAAGCACUAAAUGGUUUAGCUCCCCAGUACCUGAGCGAGCUCCUAAUUCAUUAUAGUCCUUCACGUCUAUUGCGAUCUCAGAAUUCAGGCCAGCUGAUAAUACCUAGAAUAUCAAAAUCAACCGCAGGCGGUAGAUCCUUCUCCUAUUUGGCACCUAAACUCUGGAACAAUCUUCCUAGCAUUGUUCGGGAAGCAGACACACUCUGUCAGUUUAAAUCUAGACUAAAAACGCAUUUCUUUAACCUGGCAUACACAUAACAUAUUACCAAUUUAUAUUUUCAAAUCUGUUAAAGGAUUAUUAGGCUGCAUAAAUUAGGUCAGCCGGAACCGGGAACACUUCCUAUAACACCUGAUGUACUCGUUACAUCAGAAGAAGAAUGGCAUCUACGCUAAUAUUAGUCUUUCUGUUUAUCCCGAGGUUCACCGUAGUCAACCGGAUCCGGGCCGUAUCCAGGUGAGACCAAGGACCUGCACCUUGACACGACCACAACGCAGCCCUGAAGUAUCAGCAGAGAUUGAGUCAACUAGAUCAUCCCCUGUGAAGGCCUCAUCGACACGACAGCCACGACACAGUUCCUCAACAACCGUCCAUACCAGCGUGAUGAAUACGAUCCUCAAUUGGAUGGAACUGAAAUAAAUACUUUUAAUGUUGCGAUCCUAUUGGACUUAUGAUAGCAACCUGAAUUGUAACAAAGCACUGUUGGCCAGAGGAGAACUGGCACCCCGACUAAGCCUGGUUUCUCCCAAGGUUUUUUUCUCCAUUUUAACACCAAUUUGCCACUUGUCUGCCACCUGAUGUCACCUGAUGGAGUUUGGGUUCCUUGCCGCUGUCGCCUCUGGCUUGCUUAGUUGGGGACACUUGACUUGACAUUUGAUAUUCAACAGUGCUUUUGAUCUGCCUGCAUUGACACUAUUCUUUAAGAGCUGCUGUGCAGCCAAACAAUGUACCAGUUAUCAAUGUAAAGCUGCUUUGACACAAUCUACAUUGUAAAAAGCGCUAUAUAAAUAAAGGUGACUUGACUUGA